rnacentral:rRNA from 1 species
AGCAGUAGCCGCGGUAAUACGUAGGUGGCAAGCGUUGUCCGGAAUUAUUGGGCGUAAAGGGCUCGCAGGCGGUUUCUUAAGUCUGAUGUGAAAGCCCCCGGCUCAACCGGGGAGGGUCAUUGGAAACUGGGAAACUUGAGUGCAGAAGAGGAGAGUGGAAUUCCACGUGUAGCGGUGAAAUGCGUAGAGAUGUGGAGGAACACCAGUGGCGAAGGCGACUCUCUGGUCUGUAACUGACGCUGAGGAGCGAAAGCGGGGGGAGCAAACAGGAUUAGAUACCCGCGUAGUCCCUGUCUCUUAUAC